GUCUCACCUGUUCCUAAAGGCAAAAUAGCCACAGAUGGUUCAGGGCAGGCGAGUUUGUGCCUGAUCUCUUCCAGGGCACCAAGGACCCAUCCAACUGUGCCAUCACCACCGCAUACCAAUAUUCGGAAAUAUGGAACUUGAGAGAAGACUGAAGUCAGUAUCCCAAGAACCAGAUGAAUUCUACAUAGGCAAGGAGAGAUUGGACUUCAUUUAAUCCAGCAGCAACCCUUCCAGCUCCAAAAGCAAUUUGAAGGUCAACAGAAAGAAUUAAGAAAUCUCAUUGGGCUCAGAUUCCUGGGAGAUGCACAAGAGUAACUUUAUGGAUCUGGUCUGAAUGCUUUUGAGAUACUGACAAUAGUAUGAAGAUCACUCACAGAAUGAUCUAGUAUUACCUCUUCAUUCUAGAAGAUCUGGUUGUAUUAAACAUGGUAUGUUUUUUCAUAUUCUAACAUAAUAGAACCAAAAUCAGAAAAAAUAAACAAAAAAUGAGCCAAC